GACGUAGGUGGCGAGCGUUGUUCGGAAUCACUGGGCAUAAAGCGCGCGUAGGCGGCUAAGUCAGUCGGGUGUGAAAGCCCUCGGCUCAACCGAGGAACUGCGCCCGAUACUGCUUGGCUUGAGGUCCGGAGGGGAGAGUGGAAUUCCCGGUGGAGCGGUGAAAUGCGUUGAUAUCGGAAGGAACGCCGGUGGCGAAAGCGACGGACUGGAUCUCUUCUGACGCUGAGGCGCGAAAGCCAGGGGAGCAAACGGG
rnacentral:rRNA from 1 species